rnacentral:rRNA from 1 species
UGGGGAAUUUUCCGCAAUGGGCGCAAGCCUGACGGAGCAAUACCGCGUGAGGGAGGAAGGCUUUUGGGUUGUAAACCUCUUUUCUCAAGGAAGAAGCACUGACGGUACUUGAGGAAUCAGCAUCGGCUAACUCCGUGCCAGCAGCCGCGGUAAUACGGAGGAUGCAAGCGUUAUCCGGAAUUAUUGGGCGUAAAGCGCCCGUAGGCGGUUUAUCAAGUCUGCCGUUAAAGACUACAGCUUAACUGUGGGCCGGCGGUGGAAACUGAUGAACUGGAGUGCGGUAGGGGUAGAGGGAAUUCCCAGUGUAGCGGUGAAAUGCGUAGAUAUUGGGAAGAACACCAGUGGCGAAGGCGCUCUACUGGGCCGUAACUGACGCUGAGGGACGAAAGCUAGGGGAGCGAAAGGGAUUAGAUACCCCCGUAGUCC